UAAGCCCGAAAGGGGAAAGAUUUAUCGGGAGAGGAUCGGCCCGCGUUGGAUUAGGUAGUUGGUGGGGUAAUGGCCUACCAAGCCGACGAUCCAUAGCUGGUUUGAGAGGAUGAUCAGCCACACUGGGACUGANACACGGCCCAGACUCCUACGGGAGGCAGCAGUGGGGAAUCUUGGACAAUGGGGGAAACCCUGAUCCAGCCAUGCCGCGUGAACGAUGAAGGCCUUAGGGUUGUAAAGUUCUUUCAGCGAGGAAGAUAAUGACGGUACUCGCAGAAGAAGCCCCGGCUANNUNUUGUGCCANCAGCCGCGGUAAUACNGAGGGGGCUAGCGUUGUUCGGAAUUACUGGGCGUAAAGCGCACGUAGGCGGAUAGUUAAGUCGGGGGUGAAAUCCCGGGGCUCAACCCCGGAACUGCCUUCGAUACUGGCUGUCUAGAGAUCGAGAGAGGUGAGUG
rnacentral:rRNA from 1 species